GAACGUAUUACGUAUCCAACUAUACCUAUCUUAAAAUUGUACUGUACGUUUUGCGAGUUAUUGAUUAGCCGGCCAACUGAAUUCAGUGUCAUAACUCAACUAGCUUCUGGUUCAAUGAAACGAAAAGAAAAAUUUAACGCCAAUAAGUUUCCCUUGACCUGCAGUUAUCGUACAUUAUUUUAGUUUGACAUUAAAAAAAUCGUCACAAAGAAUUUCCCAACACCUACACAAUGCUAACAAUUUUCAUGAACGAUAAUUGCGGAAAAUUUUUUCGCGCAUGACCCAGAGAACAUGUGCUCCUGUACCGUUAGGUCGAUCCGCAGAGUAGCAAAAAAAAAAAAUCAUGUGUUCGAUUGCGGUUGACGUCUGUAUCAUAACUGCGAUCAAAUAUUGCUUCUGGUUCGGGGUCUCGAAAUUUUAUACCACCCCUUCAAAAAAAGUCCACGGUAAACCGGUAGGGUCCAUACCUGGAGGUCUCCAUUGAAUUCGUUCCACAUUCUGAACACUGGCAAGAAAUUCGUUCUUUGAAAAAUGCUAUUCAUAUAUGUAUCGCAAUAGAUUUCGCAUAUUCUAGUUUUUUUCUAUUCGUUUUUCAACGAAUAUACGCCCUGUGCAAUGAAGAUAAGCAGUAUGAUGUUAUUUGCCUAUUGAAGGUGUGGCUGAAUUUUCCGGAUUAGUUUUUUUUUCGUAUUAAAAUUGUACCAACGGUGACGUGCACGUAACUGGG